CUAAGUAAUUUGCUACUAGCCAUGUAAGGUUAUAUCUAAAUUUAAAUACAUCUGGAAGUGAAAGGUUUGCUUGUUGGGGUCCACAUGGUGCAACUGGCAAGUGCACUGCACGGCAAGCAGAGGUUGCUGGUUCAAGCCCUGCCCCAGACCAGUUUUUUUCUUCCAGAUGAUUCUAAAUUAUUAUUUAAAAAUUAUAAUUAUUAAUUUAGAUAAGAGAUGGCACCUAACAUCUACCUCUAGUAGCAAAUUACUUAGUAUUAGGCUAUAAAUCUGCUAAUUUUAAUAAUUGAGUAUUUAAGAUGAUUGUUUGGCUAUACCUAUGUAUAUCUAUUUUUAAUUUAAUUUAUAAACAUCAUUUUGAUAAAAUUAAUUAUGUAUUACUUUUACUUAGGAUGAAGCAAAAAGGAGUUUAAUGAGAGCAUUAAUAACAGGACCAGAAGGAUCACCUUUUUCCAAUGGCUGUUUUCAGUUUGAUAUUUAUUUCCCUUCAAAAUAUCCUGUAAAACCACCUAAAGUUAAUUUCAGAACAACUGGGAAGAAAAAUGUCAGAUUUCAUCCAAAUUUACCUGUGUAAGUAAAAAUUUAAAAUAAUUGCACAUAAGUGUAGGAAUACGUCCAGCAGGUCUGACAGCAGCUGGAUCAAUAUUUUAAAUACAAAUACAAUUUAUGUAUAUGAUAACUUUCAGAUAUGUAGUAUGUUUUAUUUGAAACUUUUUCUUUCUCAAGAUUCAACUCCUCUGGAUAUUUGAUAGAGAUGUCAAACAAACAUAAA